rnacentral:lncRNA from 1 species
AGACCAUCUCAUCUACACCAUCCAUUCUCUCAAGUUAAUAUUAUCCAUUAGAUUUAGGUUUCAGAUUGUGUAAACCUAUGGAGCUUAUAAAUAAGCAUGUAAUGGCGUUUUGUAAUCUCUUAAGAGAGUAUGGGGGGUUUCCCCAUCUCCUUCAUAAUUAUAAAAGUGUGUUCUUGAUCAGAUUCCCUUAAACUACCCCUUUCUUAGUCUCUAAUCUCUUAAUCUCUCAAAGUCUCUUUGUUUCUGAUUCAAGUUCAUACUAGUUUCAUCAGACCUCUUAUUCAACUAGUUCAAGACCUUAUCUUUGCCUUUAAUGGCUUUUCAUACACAUACACAGCCAGAGCUCUCAAAUCUCACAUGGUAUCAGAGCCAGGUUCAUCAGAACCUGAGCUGAGCUUCCGCAAAUCCACAGCUCUUAUCUCAGCUCAAACCAAACCCUUGAAGACAUUACCAGCCGAGUUCAGCUCUUGAAGAAGAAGAGACUUGAAGCCAUGGAGUGUUAUCCUGUCCCUCAAGCCGUUGCUGUCUGUACCUGAUGGAGAGAGUCUCAUUGGAAGCAGAGGAGGAUGGAGAGGCGUCAUGAACCUCAAGCCAAAGCUCCUUGUCCAAGAGCUUAUCACAUCCGGAUACAAGAAAGAUGAAGCUAAGAUGAAGCCGGUUUGAUGUAUGAAGAAAGGAGGGGCCUUUUGGGUGUGAGAAACAGGAAGGAGGCCGUGGACUGAAGGAGAAGGAGGUGGGUGACGAUCCAGACUCCUAAAUCCAACCAAAUCAUGGCCAGAUUGCCUUUGGAGGCUUAAGGAACCAACCUGGUUCCUUGUGUAAGCGAUUCUUUAAAACCUUCUUGAUAUUGAGCUUGUGUUGUGACUGUGCCUGGUUAUUGUGAUGUGUAUUGAUUGAUAAACCUGAGGAUAAUGUGUGAUUGCUAAAUAAAAUUAGUUGAAUCUGUCCCAGGAUGCUUUAAAGGCUUGUUUAGUGUUUAAAGAGUAAAAUGCUUGCUCCUGUUAAGUAAUGAGUUUGCUAAAUGAAAUGGUAUUGUUUGAAGCUCAUGAACUGAAAACAGAUUGAAAGUAAUGCAUUGUCUGAUGAUAAGUGAUGAUAGUAAUGCUUAGCCUAAGUUAUAAAUGAAAGUGUGAUGGAUUGUAUUGUUGCAUUCAUGAAUUGAAACUGAUUAAAGGUUAGUGCAUACUGUCAAAAGGCUGUCUUACAUUGAAGCAUUAGAUUCAUGUCUAAAUGCUGAGUAAAGAAGCUUUAAAAAUUGCCUAAGUAGCUUGUAUUGAAUCUGUUAUGAUCUUACUUGUGCUUAGAGAGUUUGCUUGCAAAGAUUAGAACUUGAAAAUGUCUAGUUUAAUCUGUUGCAUUGCUUAAAGACAUUGGUGUUCAAACUUGAUGAUGCAUCAAGGGUUGACCCAAUGCACUUGUGUCUUAUCUUUGCUGGAGUUUGAGUGAUGUUUCAGGUUCACAAGAGGUGUUCUUGGUUCACCAUCCAUCCGAGUUGAAAGAGGAAGACUUUGCCCAUUGUGUGGAGCAAUGGAGAGUUGAGAAAGAAGUGGUGAUGCGCCACUGGUGUGAAGUCUCACUGAAGCUCACUUGCAAGCUUGGACCUAUACUCAAUCCAAGCUUGAGGAGGGGAGUUUAGUGAGCUUCCAUGCGAUCCAAGAAGUCCAUUGCAAGCAUCUGAAGAAGGAGCCAUCCGGGCUUAGGCUGUGGCGAGUCUAUUCAAGAGAGUACUCAAACUAAGACAGAGUACUCUUGGCUGUGAGAAGAUGAAGGCUACUCUAUCAAGGCGGCUUCAAGAGUGAGGUGAUUGGAGAGAUAGCUGAAGCUUCCACAAGCAUUCCAUCAAGAUGGCAAGAUCAGAGGAGAGGCUGCAAUGGUGUGUGUGUGAGGAUCAUGAAGCAAUCCAUUCAAGCUUGUUCCUGUGAGAGUCUCAAGCUUGAGGGGGAGUGUUGAAGCUUACAUGAUCCAAGAGAGCUUGGUGGUUAUUCCAGAAGAGGAAGCAACCUGUUGAGAAGUAUGAUGAAGGAUGAAGAAGCAAUGUCCAAGGCGGCUUCAAGUGUUGAGGUGAUUGGAGAGUGGCUGAAGCAUCCUCAUGUAGCUCAAGCAACAAGGUGGUGACUCUAUAAGAAGAAGAAGCAGCCAAGACUCAGUAAGAGAAGUUGUAUCUCCAAGAAGAGGCUGAUCUGGUGUGUCCGAGCACUUCAACCUAACAAAGCAUGUGUAGUCAAUGGACAGGCUGGAACUCCUUUUGAAAUGCUUGGCUGUGCUUUCUCACAUGCUUGCACUAGUGUAAAAGCAUCCUCUCCUUUCCAGCAUCAUACAGGCUGUCAAAGUGCUCCCUUAUCCUUCCUUAUCCUCCCUUAUCCUCUUUGGUCGAGUUUCCUCUCUUCUCUUCACUAAGUUACCUUCUCAUCCCAUCAGAUAACUUCCCCAAGUAGUUACUGUGGUUAAAAUAAAGUUACCACAGUAAAACUCUAAAGUUACUGUCUCACCAACUUAACACUCCCCCUCAAGCUUGACCAUAUGGAACAAGUCAAGCUUGGAUUGCCAUGAGAUCUUCCUGUUAACUUGAAGAAAGGAAUGGAGGAGCUAGAGGUGUUGAGUUGAGAUGGAUCUUGUACAAAGAUAGGGCAAGAGCUUUAGAGAUUGCCUAUCAAGAGUGAUGAGGAGUCUAAAGGUGUCCAGAAGUGAUCUGAUGGAUGUUCUAAGCAAGGUCAAAGUCUAGGAGAGAUUUAGAAGAGUGUUGAGGAGCAAAUGGGCGAGUGUGCAAAGAUAGGGCGAGGCUGUAUGGCCAUGUACGGAUCUGUACGGACCGGUACGACCCGAGAGAUCACAACUCGCCCAUUUGAGAUGUUUUGAGAUUGUGCAAAGUCCGGGACAAGAUGUGCAAGCUUAGGGCGUGAUCAGAACAUGUCAAGGAGGCUUUGUGCAAUCUUAGGGUGUUGGGAGAAGGCCCUGGUCGUUUGGAAUCAAGAAGGCAUCAAGAAGAUGCUUUGUGGAGGCAAACAACCAAUGGGAGCUUCCUUGUGUGUGAUUGGCUAGUUCUGGUCUUGGACAGGCUGUCUCUUGCUGUAAAGAGAAGGGAGCCACGACCAUGAACCUGGACAGAUGCAUGGGAAGAUUAGGAGGAGCCUAAGGAGAGCCAAUCACAAGCAAGGAGCCAGCUUGCCUUGGUUUGAAUUAAAGUGAGCCAGCUUAGCUUAUCCAAUCAGCACACAUCACUCAGAUUACAACAAGACCAACUCAUCCUCACCAUCCAUUCCUCUUAAGUUAUUUCUAUCCAUUAGAUUUAGGUUUCUAAUGUUGCAAACAUGUAAAGCCUAUAUAAGGCAUGUGUAUGGACGAAAUUGAAAGCUCUCUUAAGAGAGUAUGGGGGUUUUCCCCAUCUCCUUCAUAAAUAUAAAAGUGUGUUCUUGAUCAGAUUCCCUUAAUCUACCCCUUUCUUAGUCUCUAAUCUCUUAAUCUCUCUAAGUCUCUUUGUUUCUGAUUCAAGUUCAUACUAGUUUCAUCAGACCUCUUAUUCAACUAGUUCAAGACCUUAUUCUUUGCCUCUAAUGGCUUCUCAUACACAUACACAGCCAGAGCUCUCAAAUCUCAUAUGGUAUCAGAGCCAGGUUCAUCAGAACCUGAACUGAGCUUCCGCAAAUCCACAGCUCUCAUCUCAGCUCAAAUCAAACCCUAGAAGACAUUACCAGCCAAGUUCAGUUCUUGAAGAAGAAAGAAGCUUGAAGCAUGGAGUGUUCUCCUUAUCUCUCAACCGUGCCUGUCUUUACCUGAUGGAGAGUGUCUCUUUGGAAGCAGAGGAGGAUGGAGAGGCGUCAUGAACCUCAAGCCAAAGCUCCUUGUCCAAGAGCUUAUCACAUCCGGAUACAAGAAAGAUGAAGCUAAGAAAAGCCGGUUUGAAGUAUGAAGAAAGGAGGGGUCUUUGGGUGUGAGAAACAAGAAGGAGGCCAUGGACUGAAGGAGAAGGAGUUGGGUGACGACCUAGACUCUUGAAUCCAACCAUAUCAUGGCCAGAUUGCCUUUGGAGGCUUAAGGAACCAACCUGGUUCCUUGUGUAAGCGAUUCUUUAAAACCUUCUUGAUAUUGAGCUUGUGGUGUGACUGUGCCUGGUUAUUGUGAUGUGUAUUGAUUGAAAAACCUGAGGAUAAUGUGUGAUUGCUAAAUAUAAUUAGUUGAAUCUGUCCCAGGAUGCUUUAAAGGCUUGUUUAGUGUUUAAAGAGUAAAAUGCUUGCUCCUGUUAAGUAAUGAGUUUGCUAAAUGUGAAAUGAUAUAGUUUGAAGCUCAUGAACUGAAAACAGAUUGAAAGUAAUGCAUUGUCUGAUGUUAAGUGAUGAUAGUAAUGCUUAGCCUAAGUUAUAAAUGAAUGUGUGAUGAAUUGUAUUGUUGCAUUCAUGAAUUAAAACUGAUUAAGGUUAGUGCAUACUGUCAAAUGGCUGUCUUACAUUGAAGCAUUAGAUUCAUGUCUAAAUGCUGAAUAAAGAAGCUUUAAAAUUGCCUAAGUAGCUUGUAUUGAAUCUGUUAGGAUCAUGCUAGUGCUUAGAGAGUUUGCUUGCAAAGAUUAGAACUUGAAAAUGUCUAGUUUAAUCUGUUGCAUUGCUUAAAGACAUUGGUGUUCAAACUUGAUGAUGCAUCAAGGGUUGACCCAAUGCAUUUGUGUCUUAUCUUUGCUGGAGUUUGAGUGAUGUUUCAGGUUCACAAGAGGUGUUCUUGGUUCACCAUCCAUCCGAGUUGAAAGAGGAAGACUUUGCCCAUUGUGUGGAGCAAUGGAGAGUUGAGAGAGAAGUGGUGAUGCGCCACUGGUGUGAAGUGUCACUGAAGCUCACUUGCAAGCUUGGACCUAUACUCAAUCCAAGCUUGAGGAGGGGAGUUUAGUGAGCUUCCAAGCGAUCCAAGAAGUCCAUUGCAACCAUCUGAAGAAGGAGCCAUCCGGGCUUAGGCUGUGGCGAGUCUAUUCAAGAGAGUACUCAAACUAAGACAGAGUACUCUUGGCUGUGAGAAGAUGAAGGCAACUCUAUCAAGGCGGCUUCUAGUGUGAAGUGAUUGGAGAGAUAGCUGAAGCUUCCACAAGCAUUCCACGAAGAUGGCAAGAUCAGAAGAGAAGCGGCAAUGGUGUGUGUGUGAGGAUCAUGAAGCAAUCCAUUCAAGCUUGUUCCUGUGAGAGUCUCAAGCUUGAGGGGGAGUGUUGAAGCUUACAUGAUCCAAGAGAGCUUGGUGGUUAUUCUAGAAGAGGAAGCAACCUGUUGAGAAGUAUGAUGAAGGAUGAAGAAGCAAUGUCCAAGGCGGCUUCAAGUGUUGAGGUGAUUGGAGAGUGGCUGAAGCAUCCUCAUGUAGCUCAAACAACAAGGUGGCGACUCUAUAAGAAGAAGAAGCAGCCAAGACUCAGUAAGAGAAGUUGUAUCUCCAUGAAGAGGCUGAUCUGGUGUGUCCGAGCACUUCAACCUAACAAGAGGUUAGGUGAAAGGGGGAGAGACCAAGAUUAGGCAGUAAGGAGAGUACAAGGCGUGGGAUGAUUGUAGAGGCCAUGAUCCAGAGUCUUUGUGUCCCUUACAUUGUUGGUAAGGCACAAAGACUCACUGGCCAAUCCCUAGGCCUUGGAGACUUUACUCUUUUUCCCUCAUCAAGGUUUUGUCCCAAAGGGUUUUCCUUGGUGAGGUUUUUAAUGAGGAAGUUCUUCAAGGUUCCAAGCUUGACUUAGGAUCAGCUAGAGUCAAGCUUGAGGGGGAGUGUUAACUUGAAGAGAAGAAGUGGAGAAGCAAAAGUGAUGAGUUGAGUUGGUGAUUGUGCAAAGACAUGGCAAGAUCUUCAGAGAUUGUAUGUUAAGGCUUUGGGAGAGUCUUAAGGCUUCAGAAGUGGUCUGAUGAGUGUGCAAAGAUAGGGUUAAGUCCAGGAGGGACUUAGACACCAUUUAGAGAAGAUUUGGGUCAGACAGUAACUCCAAAGUUACCACAGUAACUUUGGAGAGUUACCACAGUAAGAUUGGAGAAGUUUGGGCAAGUUGGUGUAAAAGUGAAUAGUGAAUCACUAGUCACUAUUCAGGUUGACUAUUCACUAUUUGGAUCACUAUUCAGGAUGUGAGGCACCAAGGUUUGAAUCUAGUCAAAGGGAAUCAAGAAGAUGCUGUGUGGAGCUGAUUGGUUACUUUGGGGCAUGGACAGGCUGGCUGUUGCUGUAAAGGAAGAGCAGCCACGACCAUGCACCUAGACUGAUCUGUAGACAGAUACAAAGGAGCCUAAGAAAUGCACCUAGACUGAUCUGUGGACAGAUACAAAGGAGCCUAAGAAGAACCAAUCAAAGCUCAGCCUUGGUUUGAAUUAAAGUGAGCCAGCUUAGCUCAUCCAAUCAGCACACAUCACUCAGAUCACAACAAGACCAACUCAUCCUCACCAUCCAUUCCCCUUAAGUUAUUUCUAUCCAUUAGAUAUAGGUUUAUGAGUUGCAAUGAUGUAAAGCCUAUAUAAGGAUGUGUCUUGGACGUUUUGUAACUCUUAAGAGAGUAUGGGGGUUUUCCCCAUCUCCUUCAUAAAUAUAAAAGUGUGUUCUUGAUCAGAUUCCCUUAAUCUACCCCUUUCUUAGUCUCUAAUCUCUUAAUCUUUCUAAGUCUCUUUGUUUCUGAUUCAAGUUCAUACUAGUUUCAUCAGACCUCUUAUUCAACUAGUUCAAGACCUUAUUCUUUGCCUUUAAUGGCUUCUCAUACACAUACACAGCCAGAGCUCUCAAAUCUCAUAUGGUAUCAGAGCCAGGUUUAUCAGAACCUGAGCUGAGCUUCCGCAAAUCCACAGCUCUCAUCUCAGCUCAAACUAAACCCUUGAAGACAUUACCAGCUGAGUUCAGCUCUUGAAGAAGAAGAGACUUGAAGCCAUGGAGUGUUAUCCUGUCCCUCAAGCCAUUGCUGUCUGUACCUGAUGGAGAGAGUCUCAUUGGAAGCAAAGUAGGAUGGAGAGACGUCAUGAACCUCAAGCCAAAACUCCUUGUCCAAGAGCUUGUCACAUCCGGAUACAAGAAAGAUGAAGCUAAGAGAAGCCGGUUUGAAGUAUGAAGAAAGGAGGGGUCUUUGGGUGUGAGAAACAAGAAGGAGGCCAUGGACUGAAGGAGAAGGAGUUGGGUGACGACCUAGACUCUUGAAUCCAGCCAUAUCAUGGCCAGAUUGCCUUUAGAGGCUUAAGGAACCAACCUGGUUCCUUGUGUAAGCGAUUCUUUAAAACCUUCUUGAUAUUGAGCUUGUGUUGUGUUGUUGCCUGGUUAUUGUGAUGUGUAAUGAUUGAAAACCCUGAGGAUAAUGUGUGAUUGCUAAAUAUAAUUAGUUGAAUCUGUCCCAGGAUGCUUUAAAGGCUUGUUUAGUGUUUAAAGAGUAAAAUGCUUGCUCCUGUUAAGUAAUGAGUUUGCUAAAGGUGAAAUGAUAUUGUUUGAAGCUCAUGAACUGAAAACAGAUUGAAAGUAAUGC